GACGAACGCUGGCGGCGUGCUUAACACAUGCAAGUCGAGCGGUAAGGCCCUUUCGGGGGUACACGAGCGGCGAACGGGUGAGUAACACGUGGGUGACCUGCCCUCAGCUCUGGGAUAAGCCUGGGAAACCGGGUCUAAUACUGGAUAUGACUCCAUGACGCAUGUUGUGGGGUGGAAAGCCUUGUGCGGCUGAGGAUGGGCCCGCGGCCUAUCAGCUUGUUGGUGGGGUGANGGCCUACCAAGGCGACGACGGGUAGCCGGCCUGAGAGGGCGACCGGCCACACUGGGACUGAGACACGGCCCAGACUCCUACGGGAGGCAGCAGUGGGGAAUCUUGCGCAACGGGCGAAAAGCCUGACGCAGCGACGCCGCGCGAGGGAUGACGGCCU
rnacentral:rRNA from 1 species